UACGGGGGGUAAGCGUUGUUCGGAAUUACUGGGCGUAAAGGGCUCGUAGGCGGCCAACUAAGUCAGACGUGAAAUCCCUCAGCUUAACUGGGAACUGCGUCUGAUACUGGAUGGCUUGAGUUUGGGAGAGGGAUGCGGAAUUCCAGGUGUAGCGGUGAAAUGCGUAGAUAUCUGGAGGAACACCGGUGGCGAAGGCGGCAUCCUGGACCAACACUGACACUGAGGAGCGAAAGCCAGGGAGCAACGGG
rnacentral:rRNA from 1 species